rnacentral:rRNA from 1 species
GAUGAACGCUGGCGGCGUGCCUAAUACAUGCAAGUCGAGCGAACGGACGAGAAGCUUGCUUCUCUGAUGUUAGCGGCGGACGGGUGAGUAACACGUGGAUAACUUACCUAUAAGACUGGGAUAACUUCGGGAAACCGGAGCUAAUACCGGAUAAUAUUUUGAACCGCAUGGUUCAAAAGUGAAAGACGGUCUUGCUGUCACUUAUAGAUGGAUCCGCGCUGCAUUAGCUAGUUGGUAAGGUAACGGCUUACCAAGGCAACGAUGCAUAGCCGACCUGAGAGGGGGAUAGGAGACACGGGAAGUGAGAAACGGGAGAGAGUACUACGGGAGGCAGCAGUAGGGAAGAUUACGGAAUGGGCGAAAGCCUGACGGAGCAAAGCAGCGUGAGGGAUGAAGGUCAUAGGAUAGGAAAACUCUGUUAGGAGGGAAGAAAAUAUGUGGAAGGAACUGUGAACAUGCUGACGGGACCGAAUCAGAAAGCGACGGCUAACUACGUG